ACCCCUUGCUGCCAGGUUUGGUGUAUGGUUCCACUUAACUGAGAAUCAAAAGCCUCACUCCGCAGUAAAGGACCUCGGAAUCGAUCUCGUUCGUUUUCCCGGGUGGUAAACCUUGGCAGCACAAUUCAUUGCGCAAUUACGCAUGUUCCAGUCCUAGCGAAUCGAGUCCAGUAGCAGGCAAGUCCCAGAAGCAUUGCAAAAUCGCCCCCGAUCACUGGGCUUCUCGCACCCGCGUGGCUCAUCUGGGCAAGAGGAAAGAUUCCUAUCCCGGCGUCCUGACUCAGCACAAUCGGACACCGGAGAAGGACCCAGAAGGACCACAAACUUUCCACGCGUCUCCGCCCCAUGAUUCGGCAGAAGGAGAGAAAGCCCAGGGACGCCCUCGAUUGGUCGAACGCCGACGUAACGUCAUCGCCUGCUCAUUCAGACUGGACGAGGGGACGCGGACGAGGAAGAUGACUCAGCAAAUGGGCUUGGGCUACAUAAAGCUCUCUGGACGGGUGAGUUGAAGCAGAGCGGUCUGAAUAGCAGUUUGCGCGCGUGGUGUUGGUGCUGUUAUCAGUUGUGCAAGUCUGGCUGCAUAUUUCUGCUGGAAAGCAAAGCAUUUAAACUAACAACACUUUGUUGGUGACAAAGACCUCUUGAGCAGACGGCUUCCUGAUAAUGGAAUUCCCAGAUUUGGGUGAACACUGCUCUGAAAAGACUUGUAAACAACUAGACUUCCUACCCUUGAAAUGUGAUGCAUGCGAGGAGGUCUUCUGUAAAGACCACAUCCUGUACAGCAGGCACAAGUGUUCUUCGGCCUACAAGAAGAAUGUGCAGGUUCCAGUCUGCCCUCUGUGUGACACGCCCAUCCCAGUAAGAAAGGGGGAGAUGCCAGAUGUUGUCGUUGGAGCCCACAUGGACCGAGACUGUAAACGUGAUUCCACCCAACAGAAACAAAAGAUCUUUACAAACAAGUGCUUCAGACCAGGCUGCAAAAAGAAAGAGAUGAUGAAGCUGGUUUGUGACCAAUGUCAUGAGAACUUCUGUCUCCAGCACCGUCACCCCCUGGAUCAUGACUGCAAGGGGCACAGCCGUGCCAUCUCCAAAGCCGGGGAAAAGCCCCUUUGCCUGGUGCAGUGAGCCUUUGGGAUCUGGGCAGCACUGCCACUCCAAACCUAGAAAGCACAGCUGAGCUGAGGAUGCUGAAUAUGGCUGUUUCCUUGCAGAUGUGCCGCUCUGGCAAGGUCCCUGGAAUCCAGCAAGACAUCUUUGAACCGUCGGCUCCUGCAAAAUGGGUGUAGACAAGAGUUGAUGUCCUGGGAUCUGGAUUACGAAAACUACCUCCACCUGUCUCUUGUAAAUAUAUGCAACUCUUAAAAUGUGUACACCUUUUUCUAGAUUUAUUUUUGUAAUGCUCUUCUCAAUAAACUUCACUCUUAAAUGACA